rnacentral:rRNA from 1 species
AUGGCCAUGCCCACGCCGGCCGCGGCGCUGCUCCACCCCUCCUCCGCCGUCGCCGCCCCGUCCCCCUCCACCUCCUCUUCGGCGCGGCGCGGUGCCCCUUCCUCCUCCUCCUCCUCCUCCUCGGCGCGGCGGGGCGGCAAUGCCUCCGCAGGCAACGCGGCGGGCGCGCGGCGAGGGGCGGCGGUGCGCGCGAGGGUCGCGGGGGCCGCCGCGCCGGUGACCGCGGCGUCUGCGGCCGAGGGGCGCGGCAGGCAGGAGGCCCCCGCCGCGCCCGCCGUCGAGAUCCCCGUCACGUGCUACCAGAUCCUGGGCGUCACGGAGAAGGCCGAGAAGGACGAGAUCGUCAAGUCGGCCAUCGAGCUGAGGAAGUCGGAGAUCGAAGACGGGUACACGGAGGAGGUGUCCGCCUGCAGACAGGCUCUGCUGCUGGACGUGAGAGACAAGCUUCUCUUCGAACAGGAGUACGCAGGAAGCACCAGGGCCAAGGUUCCGCCCAGGUCCUCUCUCCAUAUACCCUGGAGCUGGUUGCCUGCUGCCUUGUGUGUCUUGCAGGAGGUUGGGGAAGAGAAGCUGGUUUUGGACAUUGGUCAGGCAGCUCUACGACGUCCUGAUUCUAAGCCAUAUGCUCACGAUGUACUUCUUGCAAUGGCACUAGCUGAAUGCUCCAUUGCAAAAGCUAGCUUUGAAAAAAGUAAAGUAUCUCUUGGCUUUGAGGCUCUAGCAUGUGCUCAAUAUCUUUUGAGGAAAAAACCAUCUUUAGAGAAGAUGCCCCUUCUUGAGCAGAUUGAAGAAUCACUUGAAGAGCUUGCACCAGCUUGCACUCUAGAGGUUUUAAGCCUGCCCCGUACACCUGAAAAUUCUGAGCGCAGGCGAGGUGCUAUUGCAGCUCUCUGUGAAUUGCUUGGACAGGGCCUUGAUGUUGAGUCAUCUUGUAGAGUUCAUGAUUGGCCUUAUUUCUUGGGCCAGGCAAUGGACAAGUUAUUAGCCACUGAAAUUGUGGAACUACUUUCUUGGGACUCUUUGGCUACAACUCGUAAAAACAAAAAAUCGCUGGAGUCCCAGAGCCAGCGGGUGGUAGUUGACUUCAACUGCUUCUACAGGGCAAUGCUUGCACACCUUGCAACUGGAUUUUCAACUCGGCAGACUGAGUUGAUAAGUAAAGCUAAAACCAUCUGCGAAUGCCUAGUUGCAUCUGAGAACACCGACCUGAAAUUUGAGGAAUCUUUUUGCUCGUUUCUUCUUGGAGAGGAAUCUGGCGCCACAGUUUUCGAAAAGCUUCAGCAGCUUCAAAGUAAUGGAAGUUCCAAUUCAAGAAAUUAUGGGUUAGCUAAAAAGAAAGACAGCAGUGACAAGGUUACUGUCAACCAGUCACUGGAACUGUGGCUGAAGGAGGUGGCACUUUCUCGUUUUGCAGAUACAAGAGAUUGUCCGCCAUCCUUGGUCAACUUCUUUGCUGCUCCUAAGCGCCUCAUUAGCACUUCCAAGCAGAAACUAGGAGCCACGAGAAGGGUCCUUUUGAGCUCUCAGACGUCUCCUAGUGCCUCCGCAUGCAACAGAACUUCAGGACAGCAGAAUCCAAGAUUAAAUUCUACCAGCCAUCUCGGGGAAGCUGUAAAGCAGCUUGCACCAACCACCCUGGGGGGCCAGGGCCAUUCAUCAACGGAUAGGCCAGUGAAUGGUUUAAGUACAACAUCUGUUCCUCUGAAGCGCAAUCCCGGAUCCCAUCCUGUAAGAACCUUGGAAUCGUGGGGCCUGACUGGGGAUGUUAUAGGAAAAAUCGCUUACACUGCAGUCCUGGGGUUUGCCCUAUUUGGUACAUUGAAACUGGUCAGGUUUCAGUUUGGGAACACAAAACCUGCCUCCUCAACUAGAGAAUCUGCAGUCACAUCUUCUCUGAAUGAAGCAUCUUUGUCAGAAGGUUCUUUUAUCAGUAGCAGAGUUAGGGAACAGUUUGAGAAGCUGUCGAAAAUGCUUUGGUUGAGCAAUAGGCUCCAUUCGAGAGGCGAAAGAAGUGAUCUGUCUCCUGGUUCUGGUGAUGUGGCUGCUAUAGCUCGCAAGGAAAGGAUGUCUCUUCAAGAAGCAGAAGCGCUUGUGAAGCAGUGGCAAGAUAUCAAGUCCGAAGCUCUUGGCCCUGACUAUGAAAUCGAUAUGCUCUCCGAGGUCCUCGACGGUUCGAUGCUGUCAAAGUGGCAGGACCUGGCUUUAUCAGCAAAGGAUCAGUCCUGCUACUGGAGAUUUGUCCUGUUGAAUCUCUCUGUUGUCCGAGCCGAGAUCCUGCUGGAUGAGGCUGGUGACGGUGAAGUGGCCGAAAUCGAUGCUGUGCUCGAGGAAGCUGCCGAGCUCGUUGAUGACUCUCAGCCCAAGAAGCCGAGUUACUACAGUACGUAUGAAGUUCAGUACACACUGAGGAGGCAGGACGACCGAUCGUGGAAAAUCUGCGAGGCUGCUGUCCGGGACCUGUCGUGA